GAUGAACGCUGGCGGCGUGCCUAAUACAUGCAAGUCGAGCGAACGGACGAGAAGCUUGCUUCUCUGAUGUUAGCGGCGGACGGGUGAGUAACACGUGGAUAACCUACCUAUAAGACUGGGAUAACUUCGGGAAACCGGAGCUAAUACCGGAUGAUAUUUUGAACCGCAUGGUUCAAAAGUGAAAGACGGUCUUGCUGUCACUUAUAGAUGGAUCCGCGCUGCAUUAGCUAGUUGGUAAGGUAACGGCUUACCAAGGCAGCGAUGCAUAGCCGACCUGAGAGGGUGAUCGGCCACACUGGAACUGAGACACGGUCCAGACUCCUACGGGAGGCAGCAGUAGGGAAUCUUCCGCAAUGGGCGAAAGCCUGACGGAGCAACGCCGCGUGAGUGAUGAAGGUCUUCGGAUCGUAAAACUCUGUUAUUAGGGAAGAACAUAUGUGCAAGUAACUGUGCACAUCUUGACGGUACCUAAUCAGAAAGCCACGGCUAACUACGUG
rnacentral:rRNA from 1 species